rnacentral:rRNA from 1 species
AAGUCGAACGAGGUCCAUCCCCUUGGGAGAAGACCUAGUGGCGAACGGGUGAGUAACACGUGAAGAACCUGCCCCGAAGACCGGGAUAACCCUCCGAAAGGAGAGCUAAUACCGGAUACCCCCACCGAACCGCAUGGUUGGUGAGGAAAUGGAUUCCGCUUCGGGAGGGCUUCGCGGCCUAUCAGCUAGUUGGUGGGGUAACGGCCCACCAAGGCAUCGACGGGUAGCUGGUCUGAGAGGACGAUCAGCCACACUGGGACUGAGACACGGCCCAGACUCCUACGGGAGGCAGCAGUGGGGAAUCUUGCGCAAUGGGCGAAAGCCUGACGCAGCAACGCCGCGUGGGGAUGAAGGCUCUCGGGUUGUAAACCCCUUUCAGCAGGGACGAAUCAAGACGGUACCUGCAGAAGAAGCCCCGGCUAACUACGUG